GAGAGAUAGGCAAAGCCGUCUCUCACAUAGGCUGAGACACGAUGCGGAUAUAAAGUGGGUGAUCCUAUGCUGCCAAGAAAAGCAUCGACGCGAGGCGAUGAAGGACGUAGCAAUCUGCGAUAAGCCUCGGGGAGUGGAUAAGCACACUUUGAUCCGAGGGUCUCCGAAUGGGGAAACCCCGCUGGGCGGCGUGCCGACCCGGUGACUCCCGCCUGAAUAUAUAGGGCGGGUAGAGGGAACGUGGGGAAGUGAAACAUCUCAGUACCCACAGGAAGAGAAAGCAACCGCGAUUCCGUUAGUAGUGGCGAGCGAAACCGGAACAGGCUAAACCGAGUACGUGUGAUAUCCGGCAGGAGUUGCGUAUUCGGGGUUGUGGGACUUUUCAGGCUGCUCUGCCGAGCAGCCGGCGUUACAAGAAGGUAUAGACGAACUGGAUUGAAAGCCAGGUCAUAGAGGGUGCCAACCCCGUAGUCGAAAUGCCUCCCUUGGCGCGAAGAGUAUCCCAAGUAGCACGGGGCCCGAGAAAUCCCGUGUGAAUCUGUCAGGACCACCUGAUAAGCCUAAAUACUCCCAGAUGACCGAUAGCGGACAAGUACCGUGAGGGAAAGGUGAAAAGUACCCCGGGAGGGGAGUGAAAUAGUACCUGAAACCGUUUGCUUACAAACCGUUGGAGCAGCCCUAGCAGCUGUGACAGCGUGCCUUUUGAAGAAUGAGCCUGCGAGUUAGCGAUACGUGGCGAGGUUAACCCGUGAGGGGUAGCCGUAGCGAAAGCGAGUCUGAAUAGGGCGAUUCAGUCGCGUGUCCUAGACCCGAAGCGAAGUGAUCUAUCCAUGGCCAGGUUGAAGCGACGGUAAGACGUCGUGGAGGACCGAACCCACUUAGGUUGAAAACUGAGGGGAUGAGCUGUGGAUAGGGGUGAAAGGCCAAUCAAACUUCGUGAUAGCUGGUUCUCUCCGAAAUGCAUUUAGGUGCAGCGUUGCGUGUUUCUUGCCGGAGGUAGAGCUACUGGAUGGCCGAUGGGCCCUACAAGGUUACUGACGUCAGCCAAACUCCGAAUGCCGGUAAGUGAGAGCGCAGCAGUGAGACUGUGGGGGAUAAGCUUCAUAGUCGAGAGGGAAACAACCCAGACCACCAACUAAGGUCCCAAAGCGCGUGCUAAGUGGGAAAGGAUGUGGAGUUGCCUUGACAACCAGGAGGUUGGCUUAGAAGCAGCCACCCUUGAAAGAGUGCGUAAUAGCUCACUGGUCAAGUGAUUCCGCGCCGACAAUGUAACGGGGCUCAAGCACGCCACCGAAGUUGUGGCAUUGACAUUAUUGGUAGGCCUUCGUGGUCCAGCCGUGUUGAUGGGUAGGAGAGCGUCGUGUGGCCAGCGAAGCGGCGGUGUGAACCAGCCGUGGAGGCUACACGAGUGAGAAUGCAGGCAUGAGUAGCGAAAGACAUGUGAGAAACAUGUCCUCCGAAAGACCAAGGGUUCCAGGGUCAAGCUAAUCUUCCCUGGGUAAGUCGGGACCUAAGGCGAGGCCGACAGGCGUAGUCGAUGGACAACGGGUUGAUAUUCCCGUACCGGCGAAGAACCGCCCAAGCUAAUCCAGUAGUGCUAAGUGUCUGAAUCCCACUGACGGAUCCCUUCGGGGUGAAGCGUUGGGCCUAGCGCACGACCCCAUUCUGGUGCGGUUAGCGUAUUAACAGGUGUGACGCAGGAAGGUAGCCCAACCCGGGCGAUGGUUGUCCCGGGGCAAGUGCGUAGGCCGAGAGAUAGGCAAAUCCGUCUCUCACAUAGGCUGAGACACGAUGCGGAUAUAAAGUGGGUGAUCCUAUGCUGCCAAGAAAAGCAUCGACGCGAGGUUCUAGCCGCCCGUACCCCAAACCGACUCAGGUGGUCAGGUAGAGAAUACCAAGGAGAUCGAGAGAAUCGUGGUUAAGGAACUCGGCAAAAUGCCCCCGUAACUUCGGGAGAAGGGGGGCCUUCGGCGUAUUAGGACUUGCUCCGAAAGCGUUUGGAGGCCGCAGAGACUAGUGGGUAGCGACUGUUUAUUAAAAACACAGGUCCGUGCCAAGUCGCAAGACGAUGUAUACGGACUGACGCCUGCCCGGUGCUGGAAGGUUAAGAGGACCGGUUAGCCGCAAGGCGAAGCUGAGAAUUUAAGCCCCAGUAAACGGCGGUGGUAACUAUAACCAUCCUAAGGUAGCGAAAUUCCUUGUCGGGUAAGUUCCGACCUGCACGAAUGGCGUAACGACUUCCCAACUGUCUCAACCGCGAACUCGGCGAAAUUGCACUACGAGUAAAGAUGCUCGUUACGCGCAGCAGGACGGAAAGACCCCGUGACCUUUACUACAGCUUGGUAUUGGUGUUCGGUGUGGCUUGUGUAGGAUAGGUGGGAGACUGUGAAGCGGUGACGCCAGUUACCGUGGAGUCAUUGUUGAAAUACCACUCUGGUCACUCUGGAUAUCUAACUUCGAACCGUAAUCCGGUUCAGGGACAGUGCCUGGUGGGUAGUUUAACUGGGGCGGUUGCCUCCCAAAAAGUAACGGAGGCGCCCAAAGGUUCCCUCAACCUGGUUGGCAAUCAGGUGUCGAGUGUAAGUGCACAAGGGAGCUUGACUGUGAGACUGACAGGUCGAGCAGGGACGAAAGUCGGGACUAGUGAUCCGGCAGUGGCUUGUGGAAGCGCUGUCGCUCAACGGAUAAAAGGUACCUCGGGGAUAACAGGCUGAUCUUGCCCAAGAGUCCAUAUCGACGGCAUGGUUUGGCACCUCGAUGUCGGCUCGUCGCAUCCUGGGGCUGGAGUAGGUCCCAAGGGUUGGGCUGUUCGCCCAUUAAAGCGGUACGCGAGCUGGGUUUAGAACGUCGUGAGACAGUUCGGUCCCUAUCCGCUGCGCGCGUAGGAAAUUUGAGAGGAUCUGACCCUAGUACGAGAGGACCGGGUUGGACGAACCUCUGGUGUGCCAGUUGUUCUGCCAAGAGCACCGCUGGUUAGCUACGUUCGGGAUGGAUAACCGCUGAAAGCAUCUAAGCGAGGUUCUAGCCGCCCGUACCCCAAACCGACUCAGGUGGUCAGGUAGAGAAUACCAAGGAGAUCGAGAGAAUCGUGGUUAAGGAACUCGGCA
rnacentral:rRNA from 1 species